UACGUAGGUGGCGAGCGUUGUCCGGAUUUACUGGGCGUAAAGGGCGUGCAGGCGGUUUGUUAAGUGCAGGGUGAAAGCUCCCGGCUCAACUGGGAGAGGUCCUUGCAUACUGGCGAACUCGAGGGAGGCAGAGGAAAGUGGAAUUCCCGGUGUAGUGGUGAUAUGCGUAGAUAUCUGGAGGAACACCGGUGGCGAAGGCGGCAUUCUGGACCGACAUUGACGCUGAGGAGCGAAAGCCAGGGGAGCAAACGGG
rnacentral:rRNA from 1 species